GACAGAGGUGCCAAGCGUUAGGCGGAAUCACUGGGCUUAAAGCGUGUGUAGGCGGAAUGGUAAGUACCUUGUGAAAUCCCACGGCUCAACCGUGGAACUGCUUGGUAUACUGCUUUUCUUGAGCCACUUAGGGGCAACCGGAACAAACGGUGGAGCGGUGAAAUGCGUAGAUAUCGUUUGGAACGCCAAUGGUGAAAACAGGUUGCUGGGAGUGUGCUGACGCUGAGACACAAAAGCCAGGGGAGCAAACGGG
rnacentral:rRNA from 1 species